CUUUGCUUCAUGAUCAAACAUUGCAAAGAAUGCUACUCACUGGAUUUGGAAAAGUAGUUUUUGGAUCUACUUCUUGUACUCUUCGUAGGUUUGAGAAUUGAAAUCUCAGGUGAUCUUUAUGAAUAAUUUUCCAGGAAGUAACUUCCAAGACGAUGCCCUCUACCACAUCACAUUUCCAGAUUACAGUGAUCAUCUACCUGUUGCAGAGACACGAAAUUAUAUCUGGUAGAACACAAACGGAAAAGCCUUUGCAAGACAUGUUAGUUAAAUUCUCAUUUGAAGAAAAAAGCUUAUAUUUCUCGGCAUACAUACUACUGAGCUGGUGUUAAGUGAACAAAAUUGAGAUCUCAUGUCCUGGCAAUAAACCAACUCUUGUUAGCUAAGGAUGUGCUGCUUAGUCUUUGCAUUUCAAUGUCUGUUAAAAAGUGACCAUGUGGGCCGGGCGUGGUGCUCACGCCUGUAAUCCCAGCACUUUGGGAGGCCAAGGCGGGCAGAUCACGAGGUCAGGAGAUGGAGACCAUCCUGGCUAACACGGCGAAACUCCGUCUCUACUAAAAAUACAAAAAUCAUCCUGGCGUGGUGGUGGGCGCCUGUAGUCCCAGCUACUCGGGAGGCUGAGGCAGGAGAAUGGCGUGAACCCGAGAGGUGGAGCUUGCAGUGAGCUGAGACUGCGCCACUGCACUCCAGCCUGGGCAACAGAGCGAGACUCUGUCUCAAAAAAUAUAUAAAAAUAAAAAAGUGACCACGUGGCCAGUCAUGGUGGCUUGUGCUUGUAAUUCAAUGGCUCGUGCUUGUAAUCCAAGCACCACUAGACAGAUAGGUUGCUUUAGCUCAGGACUUAGAGGCCAGCCUGGGCAACUGUGAAACUCUGUCUCUACAAAAAUUAUACAAAAGCCAAGAAUGAGAGAAAAGACUUAAUAUUUAAUAGUGAUUAUUAGAUGUAAAAUUAUUUUACCUCAUUUAAUAUAUAUUAAAUCACUUGCAAACAUAGUAAACAUAUAUUUAAAUGGUUUAUUUAAUGUUCGACUUCAUCAAACCUAAAUAUUUUUAUUAUUUUUGAGUUUAGAUGUAAAUAAGUAUUUUGGCAAUCAUUGAGACCAUGAAGUGCAAUGCAGCAGGCAAUGGGUAAAUUAGUUCAAAUCUACUUAUGGAUUUAUUUCCAAACCUUUGAUCUGCUCUCCUGCGGAAAUUUUUUUCUAUUCAAAAGACUCUAGAUUGAAUCCAUGAAUAAGAAUUCUUAUCUUUUAAAACUUCACAUAAUUUUAUUUAGAAAAGUUAUAUAUGUAUAUAUGUGUAUAUAUAUAUGUGUGUAUGUAUGUAUGUAAAUGCUGAAUAUUUACAGAUUGUUGGGUCCAAUUUGUUAGCAGUCCAUCUAAAACUAUCAUUCUAUUCUUUGGGAUUAGAAUUUGAAAAUCAUUUCUUCAGCAGUGAUUUACACUUGUUAUUUACUUCCCUUCGGAUGCCAGAGUGAAAAAUAAAACACACAGACAAAAAUACAGGCACACCUAUUUUGGGCACCAAGCUAUGUGAGAGUAGAUUAAUGGUUAGAAAUUUACAAGAAAAAAGGAAAACCCAAAAACCAAAAGACAGCAACAAACAAUACUCCUGUUCAGUGCAAAGGCCAAAACAGGUGUUUGUCCACAUUUUGUAAUUGAAAAUAGCAUUCUAUUGUCUAGUGUUGCCAGUGAUCCAUAUUUAUAGUUACUUUUUUUAGGUGUCUAGUCUAAUUUGAAUGUUGAAAAUAUAUAUUCUUUUAAUUUCAAUAUAAGUUAAAUUUACAGAAAAGUUGCAAAAGUAGCACAGAGUUUCUAUAUACCCUUCUUCAGUUUUACUUAUUGCUCAUUGUUAAAAACUUACAUUAUUAUAUGCCUUUGUUAAAAUAAUUAAACUGAUAUCCUACAUUACUGUUAAAUAAAAUUCAGACAUUAUGUGGAUUUCAUUAGUUUUUCCAUCGAGGUCUUCUUUCUAUUCCAGCAUUCUAUCCAGGCAACCAUACUAUAUUUUGCUACCAUUUUUUUUUUUUCUAGUCUUAACUGGUCUAUAACGGUUUCUCAUUCUUUUCUUUUUUUUUUAUCAUAACCUUGGUAGGCUGGUAGUCAUGGAAAGUACUGGUCAGGUAUUCUGUGGAAUGAUUGCUCAUCUCGUGACUAGAUUGCACUUAUACAAAAUAAGUGAAGUGAUCUUCUUGUCACAUCAUAUCAGGAGACACAUGAUGUUAUUGGUGACAUUAACUGUUAUCAUUCAGUGACGGUAGUGUUUUCCACUUUUGUCUUCUGUAAAUUUACUUUGUUUUCUUUCCCUAUUCUAUUUUUGGAAAGAAAAUCACUAAAACUAACUCAUUGUCAAGGGCAUGGGGGACAAGAUUUAAGCUCCAUCUCCCCAUGUCAUUUGGAAUUCUUCUGGAAAAAAGGUUUAUCCAAUAUCGAAAACUUUUCAUGUUCAAAAUUUAUGAUGGAUAUUUUUCCAUAAAGAUAUUUUAUUUGAGUGAAAUUGUUCAAUGCCACUACUCUUUAUAUUUGUUUCAUUCCUAUUAUAAUUUCUGUAACUUUGCUUUUCUUUACAUUUUACAACUGAUUUAUAGUAAUAUUGUUUUGCUUUGUUUUUCAUCUUAUCAUACUCUGGCUUUCGGUAAAUUUUCAGCUGCUAGCAACUUUUUACCAGAGCUCUUAUAAUAUUAUGGUUUUAAUUUUGUUUUCAUUUUAAAGAAUCUAUUGAAAAAAGAGAGAUAUCAGUAAACUAUAUUUAUCUAAUACAUUUAACAUUUUAUACUUCUGAACAUACGUAUUCAUAACAGAUAUCACAGACACAAAUACCUACAAAAUCAGCCAACUUAACAAAAUCAGUGAAAGAUGCUUAUUGUGGACUAUGGCAUCUAAAAACAGGUCUUUCCAUAUCAUUUCCAGGGUCUAGGUCAAGAUUACAAGUUGAAUUCCACAAAACAUAUGUUUGUUUGAUUAUUUACAAUUGUAAAAUAAAUUAAAAAUGAAAAUAAUUUAAGGCUUUAAAAUUUAAGAAAUACAUUGUAUUUUUUCUACUUUGCAAAUAAACCUUUAUAAAAACUCAGAAA
rnacentral:lncRNA from 1 species